rnacentral:rRNA from 1 species
AGAAUCAACGCUGGCGGCGUGCCUAACACAUGCAAGUCGAACGAGAAAGUGGAGCAAUCCAUGAGUAAAGUGGCGCACGGGUGAGUAACACGUGACUAACCUACCCUUGAGUGGGGAAUAACUGAGGGAAACCUUAGCUAAUACCGCAUAACACCUACGGGUCAAAGGAGCAAUUCGCUUAAGGAGGGGUCGCGGCAGAUUAGUUAGUUGGCAGGGUAAUGGCCUACCAAGACAGUGAUCUGUA